rnacentral:rRNA from 1 species
UACGAAGGGUGCAAGCGUUACUCGGAAUUACUGGGCGUAAAGCGUGCGUAGGUGGUCUGUUAAGUCUGAUGUGAAAGCCCUGGGCUCAACCUGGGAAUUGCAUUGGAUACUGGCAGGCUAGAGUGCGGUAGAGGGUAGUGGAAUUCCCGGUGUAGCAGUGGAAUGCGUAGAUAUCGGGAAGAACACCGGUGGCGAAGGCGGCUCGCUGGGCCGUUGCUGACGCUGAGGCGCGAAAGCGUGGGGAGCAAACAGG